rnacentral:lncRNA from 1 species
CACGUGAAUGCCGCAGCCCAGGAGUUCCACCGCCCCACGCCCCGCCUCCUAGCCAGCCGCUUCCAGCCACCCACCACCUCUCCAGCAGGGUUCUGAAGCAAUUUCAUCCUGAUAUCAGCACUACAUUAAAUUUCUUGGGCAUCAUGAAUGAUUUUCUUAUCGACAUCUUUGAGCACAUCACCACCAAGGCUGGCUGCCAGGUUGCUACACUGAGUGCUCCACUAUCACCUCCAGAGAGAUCCAGACCACCCGAGCCUGAUGCUGUCUGGGGAUAUCCACAAACACGCUGUAUUGAAAACCAAAGGGCUCUGAGACAGUCCUCCUUUCUUGAGGAGACAAACUCCAGCCUGUGACUGAUUGCAGAGUCUUCUGGCAAGCUUCAGAGUAAAACAAAAACUAUUUGUGGAUGACAAAGGCUUAAAAUGGGACUGUGGUUAAUUUUUUGAUGGUAAUUUUCGGAAGUGAAAGAACUGAUGUGUCUAUAACAGGAAUAAUGCAAUCGACAGAAAAUUUGGUUAUUUCUGUGACACAAAGGUAAUAAAGUUAAUCCACAAAGUUUUAAACACAAUGUAUUUAAAGAUAGUCAUUAUACAGAUUUUCAGUGAAGACAGUGAAUAUUACAUCUGAUUUACAAAAAAGAUGAACAUAAUUUUUAUAAAGGAAAAAUAUUUGGAUUUAAUAAUUCAAGAACACACAAUGUACAUAAUAUACCAUGAGUAUAUUAAGAAUUCAGUAGUAAUAUAUACCAAUAGAAUAUCAAGUUGAGAUUCAGUAAGUCCAGAGUAGAUCCUAAACAUCUAUAAUUUAGUAAAGCCUCAUAGGAAAUAUUUUACAGAUGUAUGUACACAGGUUUAACUAGGUAUCACUGUGUAACUUGCAAUUUUCACCAAAUAUUGUUUCUGAAAUUUAUCUACAUUCUAAUUGCUGUAGCUUUAGUACAUUCAUUUUUACUGGUAUAUUGUAUUCCAUUGUAUGAUUGUAGUAUGAUUUAUCCAGAAUAAUCUGUUGAUGGACAUUUCAAUUGUUUUCGGAUUUGUGCUGUUAAAAACAGUGGUGCACAAAUAUUAAUUUUACCUGUUUUUUAAACAUACCAGUGGGAUUAUACAGUAUUCCCUGUUUUUGCUUGGCUUCUUUUGUGUUUUUUUAAAUUUAAAAUUUUUAAUUUCUGCGGGUGCCUAGUAGAUGUAUAUAUUUAUGGGAUACAUGAGAUGUUUUGGUACAGUUAUACAAUGUGAAAUAAUCACAUCACAGAACAUGAAGUAUCCAUUCCCUCAAGCAUUUAUCCCCUGUGUUACAAACAAUCCAAUUAUACUCUUUUAGUUAUUUUAAAAUGUAUACUAAAAUUACUAUUGACUAUAAUCUCCCUGUUGUGCUACCAAAUACUAGGUCUUAUUCAUUCUGACUACUUUUUGUGCCCGUUAACCAUCCCUCCUUCCCCUUCAUCCUUCCACUACCUUCUCCAGCCUCUGGUAACCAUCCUUCUACUCUCUAUUUCCAUGAGUUCAACUUUCUUUUGCUCAACAUGUCUGUGACACUUAAGAAACAUAUCAACCAAGUGCAAUAUGGGGCCCUUGUUUGGACCAUAAUUGGAACAAACCAACUGUACAAAAAGCAUUUGUGCAACAAUUGAUAUUGAUAUUUGAUAUUAAUGAGUUACUAUCAAAUUUUUUCUAGGUGUGACAAUGGUAUUGUGCUUAUGUUUAAAAGAGCUCUCAUCUUUUAGAGAUUCAUACUGAAAUACUUAUGGAUGAAAAUAUAUUAUUUGCUUCAAAAUGGUGGAGGUGGGAAAAUGUGGAGUAUAUGGCUGUGAAUUGAUAAUUCUUGGAAUUAGGUGAUGAGAAAUGGGUGUUUAAUAGACUAUUUUCUCUACUUUUGUAUAUAUUUGAAAUUUUCCCUAAUAAAAAGGUUUUUAAAAAAGAGUGGUACAGAGGUCAUUUUGUACAAAUCUCCUUGUAUACAUCUACCAUAUAUAUAUAUAUAUCUGUGAGUCCAUUUGAGGUGUUAUCAAAUAGGUACAGUCUGCUAGAUAUGACCAAAAUGUUCUGCAAAGUCUAUAUGUAUGCCAGGUCACAAUCUAACCAAUUGUGUAUGGAAGGUCUCAUUGGUCUACCUUGUUCAUCUAAAGAGGAGGUUGAGUGCCUGAUUCCAAACACAGGCCUUUUAGUCAAGCACAUGGGGAUUGAGAUAGCAGCUCUUUCUCUUAGAAGCUGUGUUACCCUGGAACCUGUACUUAACCUCUCUGAAACUCAGUCUUAUAAUCUGUAAAAGGAAAUCCUGAUACCAAAUAGAAUAUCUAGAACAUAUAGAAAGACAGCAUUUGUCUGUUUCCUUCCCAUUCUAUCUUUUUUAAAGAGAGAUUUUAUUUUUAACCUCAAGAUCAUCGCUAUGUCUUAGCAUUUUGGGAAUGUUAAAAGGAGAAGAAAAAAUAAACACGCUCAUGUACUUAUGUAACAGAUUCAAGGCCAUUUCUGUGAGACAGAAUGUUAUAGAAUGAGUUGUCUGAUAAAAACAGGUAGGAAAAAAGUGCACACUUUCCUAUUGAAUGGUUGUACCUUCCCUGUGGUCUUUGUGGCUUUGUGGGUCCAAUAGUUUCAAUUCAGGUGUUCCCAUGAUUUAAGAGUCUGGGAUCUUCUUGGAGUUCCAGAAACACUAGGCAUUUGGUGACUGUGGAUCUGCAGGGAGGGACACUGGAACAAGAAUCAGGAGCUCUGCCUGAAUUUCAGUGCCCGAGCCUUCACUGUUGACAGGACAUCAGGUGAGUCAUUUCCUCUCUCCUCUCCUCAGCUACCAAAGAGGAUAACACCAGGGAGCCAAGUCAAUGGGAGUCUGGUACCUAGACUGAGGAUUUGCUAUGUUCCAAGCACUGUACCAUUUGCAUUAUUUGCGUUUCUCUCUUUUAGUCAAGUACUUUUACUCAAGUGGCCUUCAUGAAGCAAAGUCCAGCAUCCCAGAGAACAACAUUGGGAAUCUAAUUUAGAUGCGAGGGGGCACAGAAAUCCCUUGUGAGAAAUUACCUUUAAAUGGCAGCCUGAAGUGUGAAUAGGAGAAAGCUAGGGUGGGAGAGAUUCCCAGGCAGUGGGAGCAGCAUGUGCAAAGGCCCUGAGGUGGGAAGUAGCUUGGCCCAUCUGGGCUGGGGGGAGGCCUGUGUAGCAGAGUGAGUGAGAGAGGAGUGGCCUUAGAUGAGGGUAGUAAGGAACACUGGGCAGAGUGAACAGGUCUCUGCAGGCUAUAUAAUACAGAGUCUGCAUUUUACCUGCUGAGUUCUGGCAAGGCAUGGAGAGUUGUAAACACAUGUGAUCCCAUUUGCUUUUGGCAGCCUGGAAGGUGUUGGACGCUGAGGGUAAAAAUACUGCUCUCAGAGUUGAAUGAAGCAGAGCAGCCAUGAGGAGUAACCCUGUGGAUGGAGCCUCUGCUGCUGAAGUGACAGAAGUCUGUCCUGUUUACUGUGGAAACCUAACAUUGGGCUGGUGACAGUGGUAAUGAGGACAUGUGACAGGACGUGGGGCUGGCCGGUGGGACUCUCCUCAUUCCUCUACUCCAGUGAGUGUGUUGCCCGAGGUGAAGAGGCUUGGAGGGCAGUUGAUCCCUCACAGAAUUUAGGUCUGGCUCUAACCAUAUUAAGAGAGGACAAAGGUCACUGAGAUACAUGGUCCCACUUCCUUCAUAUAGG